CCCCUAGUAACGGCGAGUGAAGUGGGAAAAGCUCAACUUUAAAAUCUGGCGUCUUCGGCGUCCGAGUUGUAGUCUCCAGAAGCGUUUUCUGUACUGGUCCGUGUAUGAGUCUGUUGGAACACAGCGUCAUAGAGGGUGACAACCCCGUUCAUGCCACGGAUCCCAGUGCUUUGUGAUACGCUCUCGAAGAGUCGAGUUGUUUGGGAAUGCAGCUCAAAUUGGGUGGUAAAUUCCAUCUAAAGCUAAAUAUUGGCGAGAGACCGAUAGCAAACAAGUACCGUGAGGGAAAGAUGAAAAGCACUUUGGAAAGAAGGUUAACAGUACGUGAAAUUGUUGAAAGGGAAACGAUUGAAGUCAGACGUGCGUGUUGCGAUUCAGCUCUGGUUCGCCAGAGUGUAUUUCGUAGCGUUGCAGGCCAACAUCGGUUUUCUAAGUCGGAUAAAGGUUUGAGGAAGGUGGCGCUCCAGGGCGUGUUAUAGCCUCUUGCUGAAUACGAUUUGGGAGACCGAGGAACGCAGAGCGCCGCAAGGCAAAGGGUCCGCCCUUUUCGCUCUUAGGAUGUUGGUGAAAUGGCUUUAAACGACCCGUCUUGAAACACGGACCAAGGAGUCUAACAUGCUUGCGAGUGUUUGGGUGGCAAACCCAUACGCGUAAUGAAAGUGAAUGGAGGUGGGAUCCUGCAAGGGAGCACCAUCGACCGAACCGGAUUUUUAAUGAAGGUUUUGAGUAAGAGCACGUAUGUUGGGACCCGAAAGAUGGUGAACUAUGCCUGAAUAGGGUGAAGCCAGAGGAAACUCUGGUGGAGGCUCGUAGCGGUUCUGACGUGCAAAUCGAUCGUCAAAUUUGGGUAUAGGGGCGAAAG
rnacentral:rRNA from 1 species